UGGUGUGAAUUGCAGAAUCCCGUGAACCAUCGAGUUUUUGAACGCAAGUUGCGCCCAAAGCCAUUAGGCCAAGGGCACGUCUGCCUGGGCGU
rnacentral:rRNA from 1 species